ACAUUGUAACCAAGGGGGCAGGCAAUUAUUUUGGCUGGAGGGCCGAUUAACGAGUUUUGGCAAGGUGUUGAGGGCUGCAUGGGUAGCCCUGCCUCUUGACAGUUGCCUGGCCCCUCU